rnacentral:rRNA from 1 species
GCCAGACUCCUACGGGAGGCAGCAGUGAGGAAUAUUGGUCAAUGGGCGCAGGCCUGAACCAGCCAAGUCGCGUGAGGGAAGACUGCCCUAUGGGUUGUAAACCUCUUUUAUAAGGGAAGAAUAAUGACUACGUGUAGUCAGAUGCCCGUACCUUAUGAAUAAGCAUCGGCUAACUCCGUGCCAGCAGCCGCGGUAAUACGGAGGAUGCGAGCGUUGUCCGGAAUUACUGGGCGUAAAGGGCGCGUAGGUGGGCGCUUAAGUCAGGUGUGAAAACGCCGGGCUCAACCUGGAGACUGCACUUGAAACUGGGUGUCUUGAGGGCAGGAGAGGAAAGUGGAAUUCCUAGUGUAGCGGUGAAAUGCGUAGAUAUUAGGAGGAACACCAGUGGCGAAGGCGACUUUCUGGACUGUACCUGACGCUGAGGCGCGAAAGCGUGGGUAGCGAACGGGAUUAGAUACCCCAGUA